UACGGAGGGUGCGAGCGUUGUCCGGAAUCAUUGGGCGUAAAGGGCGCGUAGGUGGCCCGGUCAGUUCGUGGUGAAAGCGCGGGGCUCAAACCCUGCGUCGGCCAUCGAAUACUGCCGCGGCUGGAGCACUGUAGAGGCAGGCGGAAUUCCGGGUGUAGCGGUGGAAUGCGUAGAGAUCCGGAAGAACACCGAAUAGCAGAGGCCGAAGGC
rnacentral:rRNA from 1 species